AUGUUGAGCUUGCAAAAUGUUCCUGGUCUUUCCUGUUCGCUGUUUACAAAGACAGACUAAUGUUCAAGCCUAAUUAAGUAAGGUAAACGACUUGUCCAGAGAGAAGGAUCCCGUUCUGCCUGUCCAUGCAGGGCAUCAAAGGGGCGUGCGUGUGCAGUUGUCUUCAGGAGGCUGAGACUGCAAUGUAGGAGGCUUCUGUAUUCCUGUAACUGCUAUGAGAUCACAUGGCUGGGAGUGUGCUCAGAACCUGCUGCGACUGUGGCUGCUGCACCCAAUCUGUGAAUCAGCUGACUUUCGUUUUGCUGUGCUAUAUUUAAUUGGUCUAAGGAGGAAUAGCCAGCAAGCAGUAGGAAGUCACCAGCAGUAGCUGUGUCCAGUUAGCCCAUGUGCAGACACGAGAAUUUGAGUACCCAUUUCUCCUUGUUACAAGAGCAUAGAGAGCUGCUUCCCAAAUCAAGGAACGCUAUCAUCUGCCACUACCUAGAGAAAGGCCUUCCAAAUCUCCAGUCUAGGAACUGAGUAACCUGGCGAUAAUGUCAUGCCUCACCUCUGACAAAACGACUGAUGAGAAAAGGAGUGAAGAAUUUGGGCCUUAUUCCUUGAUGCUCAAAGGCAUCAAGUUAUUCCACCCCAGGCUGAGGACUCUGACCUAAGAGAACAGCCACGGCCCAGGCAGUGUUUGGUGACAUAAAACACAGGGUAGUCGCCUAGCAUCCUGGAGUCUUGUCUUGUCUACAGAAACUUUGGUUCCUCGGUGCACACCCUGACUCACUGUAUAUGCUCAGGAGGAUGUCAUUUGGGACCCACCUUGCCCAUAGCACCCAGUGCAAGUCUGACUCCUGGGAGAAAGACUCCGUGUUCCCGUGCGUGUGACUCAGGUGAUCACCUCAUGGGCACAACCAGGGCCUCAGUCAACAGCCCUUGUAAAAGCAGCCUUUUAUCUACCUGGCUUCAGAGUUGCUGGGGCGGGACAUGCAAGAGAAACCUGAUCACAACGUUUUUUUUAACGCCUCAGCAAAAGUGAUGCAUGAACACCGGGCUCUAUUUGAACAGCCUCCUAAAUAGAAUCAACUGUUUCCUCCAAGAGAGAACUUGCAUAUGCUGUGAGAAAGAAACAUGCGCAUUCCUGCUUGGUGGAAACAGAGGUUAGAAAGGGAAGGAGCUCAGAGCAACCCAGGAACCCUGUUGUCAGCACCGGGUAUCAUUUCUUCUCCACCUGGGCACUUGCCCACAUUCCUCUCCCACUGCCCUGUGUUCCCUGCUCUGACAACCAUCUCCUGCAACAGCCAAGGUGAUAGCUGAGUACACGGGGUGCAAACUUGGAAUUAGGGAGGUGAAGCAAGAGGAUUACCACGAGUUUGAGGUCAGCCUGGGUCAGGGAAUUCAAGCCUGCCUGAGCU